GGUCCCCUCACAGUGCCCGUGGUCCCUCAGCCCGUUAGGUUUUGCUGCCGAAUCCCAGGGAAAAUCCCAGGUGUUUUCUCUAUAAAAUCCCAGAUUUUUUCUCUAUAAAAUAUUGUGUAUAAGACACCUAAGUGUUUAUUUUUUUGAAGGUUUCCCUCAGGGCAGGGCGCCAUUUUACCCCCGUGGUGAGGCUGAGGGGCCGCCGGGGCCACACCCAGCGCUGAGUCCCCUCACGGUGCCCAUGGUCCCUGCUGCUUUCCAGGACACUUUUGGCUGUUUGUACUGCAAAUAUUUUGGGAAUUGGGGUUGAUCCUUGAACCACCAGAGACCCUGGUAUCCGGAAUGCAUUUUUGUCCCUCAUAAUUGCAUGAAAAGCUGGGAGAGAAAGUUCCUGUGAGGGAGAAUCAAUGUCUGCCGGGCGUGUCAGUGAAACAAUGAACGUUAACUCAAGAAAUGUGAAUUGUUUUUCAUUUCCUGUGGAAAAGCUUCAGACAUCUAACCUCAAGACAGAAGUAAAUGCAUCGUGUGUUAAUCAGGCAGAAUAAGGAAUAGGAAAACAGGAGUCUGGGUGCAAGCAUUUCACAAAUCUCAGUGAUGUGGGAAGUGAAUUUUGCAUAUAUUUGUAGCUAAUUAACUUGCUUCUGAAUUGCUGUAAAUUGUGUUAUUGUAGGCACUGUGACACCAGGGUUUCAGGGUGCUCCCAGGGAACACACAAGAAGGUUUCUUGGAGGAGGCUGGGAAUUGGACAAGACCAAAAGCCACAGGCUUUUUCCAGCCUGGCUGGAGAGCAGCAGUGGCAGAGGGGAUGAGUCAGUGGACAGUGCUGGGCCCUCUCCAGCCUUUCCAUCAGCUCCAUGGGGCCGGAGGCGUUGGCACUCAGCAGCACCGGCUGCAGGAGCUUCUCAAGGUGUUUCCGUGGACUCCUAAGUUGGGGUUGGAAGAGAAACUGUGUAUCUAUGACCAUGAACCCUCCCCUCUCCCCAGGAAAAUAAAAAUACAAUGAGAAGGGGGAGCUUUCCCAAAGGUCUUAGUGGAUCAAUGUAAUGUUGAGCUAAGGGAAAUUAGAGAUUUGUUGAUGUUCCCAGAGGUACAAGUGGCAUAAACUGAUUGUAAAGAAAGAAUUUACUCUGCGAGGAACUCUUCAGGCACUACCACACAUUCACAGCUGCAUUUGCAGGUUUAUACUUUUCCCCUUUAGUGUUUUGGGUGCUGUUGCAGUUUUAUCACUGAGAGGCAGUUUACAGAAGUGUUACUUGAAGUGUUGCACAGACAUUGAGAGACCAGCACCAGUGACACAGGAGCAUUAGGAGGGAUGAUAAAAGGAGGCUUUUCAGCUUGUGCCCUUUCUAAAUGUGGUCAGGUAAGGAGAAGGUAAUACAGUUAAAAUGUUGGUGCCAUGCCUAAACUUCUGGCCUGCCUUAUUACAAGUGCCUGAUGUCAAAGAUGGAGCAAAGACAGCAGGGACCCCGCAGGUCAGUCUGUACCUGACUGGGAGGAAGUUCAGUUCAUCCUGAAACAUGGCAGGGAACAGUUAUGGGGACACUCAUUGCAUAGAGGGGAAUGUUUGACUCAAAGUGACCCGUGGCCUUCUGUAAAAAAAGAAUAGGAAAAAUAAGUCUAAACCAUCCAAAACAGACGUGAUGAUGAUUAAGAAAACACCUCUGGAUGAAAAAGGUGUUACUGAAAAA